UUUCCUACGGGUGGCAGCAGUGGGGAAUCUUGGACAAUGGGCGCAAGCCUGAUCCAGCCAUGCCGCGUGAGUGAAGAAGGCCUUAGGGUUGUAAAGCUCUUUUGCCAGGGACGAUAAUGACGGUACCUGGAGAAUAAGCCCCGGCAAACUUCGUGCCAGCAGCCGCGGUAAUACGAAGGGGGCUAGCGUUGUUCGGAAUUACUGGGCGUAAAGCGCACGUAGGCGGGUCGUUAAGUCAGGGGUGAAAUCCCGGAGCUCAACUCCGGAACUGCCCUUGAUACUGGCGAUCUAGAGGUCGGAAGAGGUUAGUGGAAUUCCCAGUGUAGAGGUGAAAUUCGUAGAUAUUGGGAAGAACACCAGUGGCGAAGGCGGCUAACUGGUCCGAUACUGACGCUGAGGUGCGAAAGCGUGGGGAGCAAACAGGAUUAGAUACCCCAGUAGUCGA
rnacentral:rRNA from 2 species